CACGUAGGGACCAAGCGUUGUCCGGAUUUAUUGGGCGUAAAGCGCUCGUAGGCGGUUCGGUAAGUCGGGUGUGAAACCCCUGGGCUCAACCCGGGGGACGCCACCCGAUACUGCUGUGACUCGAGUUCGGUAGGGGAGCGGGGAAUUCCUGGUGUAGCGGUGAAAUGCGCAGAUAUCAGGAGGAACACCGGUGGCGAAGGCGCCGCUCUGGGGCCGAUACUGACGCUGAGGAGCGAAAGCGUGGGGAGCAAACAGG
rnacentral:rRNA from 1 species